rnacentral:rRNA from 1 species
AUUGAACGCUGGCGGCAUGCCUUACACAUGCAAGUCGAACGGUAACGCGGGGGCAACCCUGGCGACGAGUGGCGAACGGGUGAGUAAUACAUCGGAACGUACCCAGUAGUGGGGGAGUAGCUCGGCGAAAGCCGGAUUAAUACCGCAUACGACCUAUGGGUGAAAGACGGGGGAGUCGCAAGACCUCGCGCUAUUGGAGCGGCCGAUGUCGGAUUAGCUAGUUGGUGAGGUAAAAGCUCACCAAGGCUACGAUCCGUAGCUGGUCUGAGAGGACGACCAGCCACACUGGGACUGAGACACGGCCCAGACUCCUACGGGAGGCAGCAGGUGGGG